GUGUAUGAAUAAAGUCUCUAGACAGUGCUCGCAAAAAAAUGAAAUCCCAAAAAUCUGUGCUGGAAAAGGAAACUUCAGUGCAAACACCUCUGGUGGUUCCUAACUGCUCACCUCCCGGCUAUAGCACGGAUAGCUAAAUGGACUCCAAAGUUGUAGACACAGAUGGAUGCAGCAACACUUAGAGAUGGCUGAAGGACUCAGCAGUGGAUGGACAUGUGAGGCCCCGUACACACGA